AAUGAACGCUGGCGGCAGGCCUAACACAUGCAAGUCGAACGAGGCAGCAAUGCCUAGUGGCGGACGGGUGAGUAACGCGUGGGAACGUGCCCCUUGGUACGGAAUAGCCCGGGAAACUGGGAGUAAUACCGUAUGUGGUCGAGAGACGAAAGAUUUAUCGCCAAGGGAUCGGCCCGCGUUGGAUUAGGUAGUUGGUGGGGUAAUGGCCUACCAAGCCGACGAUCCAUAGCUGGUUUGAGAGGAUGAUCAGCCACACUGGGACUGAGACACGGCCCAGACUCCUACGGGAGGCAGCAGUGGGGAAUCUUAGACAAUGGGGGAAACCCUGAUCUAGCCAUGCCGCGUGAUCGAUGAAGGCCUUAGGGUUGUAAAGAUCUUUCAGUGGGGAAGAUAAUGACGGUACCCACAGAAGAAGCCCCGGCUAACUUCGUGCCAGCCGCCGCAGUAA
rnacentral:rRNA from 1 species